rnacentral:rRNA from 1 species
UACGUAGGGGGCAAGCGUUGUCCGGAUUUAUUGGGCGUAAAGAGCUCGUAGGCGGCCUGUCGCGUCGACUGUGAAAACCCAGGGCUCAACCCUGGGCCUGCAGUCGAUACGGGCAGGCUAGAGUGCAGUAGGGGAGACUGGAAUUCCUGGUGUAGCGGUGAAAUGCGCAGAUAUCAGGAGGAACACCGGUGGCGAAGGCGGAUCUCUGGGCCAUUACUGACGCUGAGGAGCGAAAGCGUGGGUAGCAAACAGG